rnacentral:rRNA from 1 species
UUUAAUUCGAAGCAACGCGAAGAACCUUACCAGGUCUUGACAUCCUCUGACAACCCUAGAGAUAGAGCUUCUCCUUCGGGAGCAGAGUGACAGGUGGUGCAUGGUUGUCGUCAGCUCGUGUCGUGAGAUGUUGGGUUAAGUCCCGCAACGAGCGCAACCCUUGAUCUUAGUUGCCAUCAUUUAGUUGGGCACUCUAAGGUGACUGCCGGUGACAAACCGGAGGAAGGUGGGGAUGACGUCAAAUCAUCAUGCCCCUUAUGACCUGGGCUACACACGUGCUACAAUGGACGGUACAAAGAGCUGCAAGACCGCGAGGUGGAGCUAAUCUCAUAAAACCGUUCUCAGUUCGGAUUGUAGGCUGCAACUCGCCUACAUGAAGCUGGAAUCGCUAGUAAUCGCGGAUCAGCAUGCCG